rnacentral:rRNA from 1 species
AGCAGUCGCCACGGUAGUACGAAGGGUGCAAGCGUUACUCGGAAUUACUGGGCGUAAAGCGUGCGUAGGUGGUGGUUUAAGUCCGUUGUGAAAGCCCUGGGCUCAACCUGGGAAUUGCAGUGGAUACUGGAUCACUAGAGUGUGGUAGAGGAUAGUGGAAUUUCCGGUGUAGCAGUGAAAUGCGUAGAGAUCGGAAGGAACAUCUGUGGCGAAGGCGACUAUCUGGGCCAACACUGACACUGAGGCACGAAAGCGUGGGGAGCAAACAGGAUUAGAUACCCGCGUAGUCCCUGUCUCUUAUAC